UUAAUGGAUUAUUUUAGACAAAACCUCAGAACUAUUAUUUGCGUACGUAAUAGGUUUAGUUAGCCAAGCAUAGACGGACGUCUCCUAUAAAUUUGAGAUUCAGCCUCGUUACCAUAUCGCCUCGUGGAGUAAGCGAAGAAUUAUCUGCAACACGUAAGAACUAUGAAGACCCACAUGAUUGCGGCUGUCCUGGCGGUGUGUAUCCUUCUAGCGGCCCUUUCGCCCACGGCGGAAGCUCAGAACGGGGACGCCGUUGUGGAAGAAGGUACUUUGACUGACCCAGCUUUGGUUUUGGUUUCGGUUGAGGAUAUCCGUGGUAUAGACGACCCUACUAUUACUAAAUAAUGGAAAGAAACUAUGUUGUCGUUGAGGCCUCUUUUUCUAAAUGAUAGAAAGACACUAUUUUUUCGUUUCUACUGUCAUAUAUAAACACUUGAAUCAAAAUAAACGAAUGGCUGACAAUG